rnacentral:rRNA from 1 species
UGGGGAAUAUUGGACAAUGGGCGGAAGCCUGAUCCAGCAAUGCCGCGUGUGUGAAGAAGGCCUGCGGGUUGUAAAGCACUUUCGGUGGGGAGGAAGGCCUGAUGGUUAAUAGUCAUCAGGAUUGACGUUACCCACAGAAGAAGCACCGGCUAACUCUGUGCCAGCAGCCGCGGUAAUACAGAGGGUGCGAGCGUUAAUCGGAAUUACUGGGCGUAAAGGGUGCGUAGGUGGUCAAUUAAGUUAGGUGUGAAAUCCCUGGGCUUAACCUAGGAAUGGCAUUUAAGACUGAUUGGCUAGAGUGCAGAAGGGGCAAUCGGAAUUCUUGGUGUAGCGGUGAAAUGCGUAGAUAUCAAGAGGAACACCUGAGGUGAAGACGGGUUGCUGGGCUGACACUGACGCUGAGGCGCGAAAGCCAGGGGAGCAAACGGGAUUAGAUACCCGCGUAGUCCCUGAGCGGGCUGGCAAGGCGCAU